GUGUCUUAGUGCGUGAGUGCUCAGUCAGGUCUGACUCUUUUCACCCCCACGGACUGUAGUCCACCAGGCUCCUCUGUCCAUGGGAUUCUCCAGGAGAAUCGGACUUCGGUGAUGCACUCGUCCAUUUCGUUUGACUACGGUACCCACAGCAGCUAGGACAGGAUCUGGCGCUUAAACUUCAACACCUUUGGUCAUCUUUAGCACAUGGCUUCUAAGGCCACUGGGCUUGCCUCAUCAAGCUGGCAAAUGGGAAAGGGCUUUAAAAAGUUUUUAAUGUGCCGGGCCUGAAAUUGAUGCCCAGCACUCUGUAUCUAGAUUCGAUUGGCUGUUAGUAAAUCAGGCGGCUACCUGCAGCUCGAGUGAGCAGCACAGGAGCACAGGGGAUGAAUAAUUCCUAAUACUUCUCAUAUUCUCAGUGUCUCAGGCCAAUAAAGUUCAUAGACCCUCCGAUAGCCAUGAUUUCUGAAAGGAAUGGAGAGGCACAGCGUGUUCAAGAAUUUCUCUUCCAAGGCUCUCAUUU
ensembl:lncRNA